rnacentral:rRNA from 1 species
UGGGGAAUCUUCCGCAAUGGACGAAAGUCUGACGGAGCAACGCCGCGUGAGUGAUGACGGCCUUCGGGUCGUAAGGCUCUGUUAAUCGGGACGAAAGGCCUUCUUGCGAACAGUUAGAAGGAUUGACGGUACCGGAAUAGAAAGCCACGGCUAACUACGUGCCAGCAGCCGCGGUAAUACGUAGGUGGCAAGCGUUGUCCGGAAUUAUUGGGCGUAAAGCGCGCGCAGGCGGAUCAGUCAGUCUGUCUUAAAAGUUCGGGGCUUAACCCCGUGAUGGGAUGGAAACUGCUGAUCUAGAGUAUCGGAGAGGAAAGUGGAAUUCCUAGUGUAGCGGUGAAAUGCGUAGAUAUUAGGAAGAACACCAGUGGCGAAGGCGACUUUCUGGACGAAAACUGACGCUGAGGCGCGAAAGCCAGGGGAGCGAACGGGAUUAGAUACCCCGGUAGUCCUGGCCGUAAACGAUGGGUACUAGGUGUAGGAGGUAUCGACCCCUUCUGUGCCGGAGUUAACGCAAUAAGUACCCCGCCUGGGGAGUACGACCGCAAGGUUG